UACGGAGGGUGCGAGCGUUAAUCGGAAUUACUGGGCGUAAAGCGUACGUAGGCGGUUUGUUAAGUCGGAUGUGAAAUCCCCGGGCUCAACCUGGGUGCUGCAUUCGAUACUGGCAGACUUGAAUACGGUAGAGGGGGGUGGAAUUCCAGGUGUAGCGGUGAAAUGCGUAGAGAUCCGGAGGAACACCAGAGGCGAAGGCGGCCUACUGGGUCAGUACUGACGCUGAGCCGCGAAAGCCAGGGGAGCGAACGGG
rnacentral:rRNA from 1 species